rnacentral:rRNA from 1 species
UGGGGAAUCUUGGACAAUGGGGGCAACCCUGAUCCAGCCAUGCCGCGUGAGUGAUGAAGGCCUUAGGGUCGUAAAGCUCUUUCGCCUGUGAAGAUAAUGACGGUAGCAGGUAAAGAAACCCCGGCUAACUCCGUGCCAGCAGCCGCGGUAAUACGGAGGGGGUUAGCGUUGUUCGGGAAUUUACUGGGCGUAAAGCGCACGUAGGCGGACCAGAAAGUUGGGGGUGAAAUCCCGGGGGCUCAACCCCGGAACUGCCUCCAAAACUAUUGGUCUAGAGUUCGAGAGAGGUGAGUGGAAUUCCAAGUGUAGAGGUGAAAUUCGUAGAUAUUUGGAGGAACACCAGUGGCGAAGGCGGCUCACUGGCUCGAAUACUGACGCUGAGGUGCGAAAGUGUGGGGAGCAAACAGGAUUAG